rnacentral:rRNA from 1 species
CCUACGGGAGGCAGCAGUGGGGAAUAUUGCACAAUGGGGGGAACCCUGAUGCAGCAACGCCGCGUGGGUGAAGAAGUACUUCGGUAUGUAAAGCCCUGUCAGCAGGGAAGAAAAUGCCGGUACCUGACCAAGAAGCCCCGGCUAACUACGUGCCAGCAGCCGCGGUAAUACGGAGGGGGCAAGCGUUAGCCGGAUUUACUGGGUGUAAAGGGAGCGUAGACGGCAAGGCAAGUCUGGAGUGAAAGCCCGUGGCUCAACCACGGGACUGCGUGGGAAACUGGGAUGCUGGAGUGCAGGAGGGGUAAGUGGAAUUCCUAGUGUAGCGGUGAAAUGCGUAGAUAUUAGGAGGAACACCAGUGGCGAAGGCGGCUUACUGGACUGUAACUGACGUUGAGGCUCGAAGGCGUGGGGAGCAAACAGAAUUAGAUACCCGGGUAGUC